UACGAAGGGGGCUAGCGUUGUUCGGAUUUACUGGGCGUAAAGCGCGCGUAGGCGGUCACCUAAGUCGAAUGUGAAAGCCCUCGGCUCAACCGGGGAAGUGCAUCCGAAACUGCAGAGCUUGAAUAUGGAAGAGGAGAGUAGAAUUGCUGGUGUAGUGGUGAAAUACGUAGAUAUCAGCAGGAAUACCGGUGGCGAAGGCGGCUCUCUGGUCCAAUAUUGACGCUGAGAAACGAAAGUGCGGGGAUCAAACAGG
rnacentral:rRNA from 1 species